ACACUAUAUGAGGAAAUUGUGAGGAAAAUGUUUUCUCUAGACAUGUUUUUAGAUUUAGAGAGAAACCAAUAGUAAUACAAACCCCAGUGUGAGGAUCCAGUGACAGCAACAGAAAGAUGCACUGUGACUGUUCAUGGCAGUCAAACUCUCAAUGCCUGAUGGAGAGAGACAGGCUAGUAAAUAGAAGUUAAUCGGUCAGAGAGCGUGAAAACGUCCACAGCUCCAUAGAGGCCUGCACAUCCGAGGCCCCUGGAGAUCACCCCUAGACCUGAUGCCGUCUUACACAACGCCAGCUUUUCUGAGGGCACCAACUCAGCUACCAGCUGGUGUUCUUGUCAUCUUGUGCAGGAGAAUAGAAAAAGGAAAGCUAAAAUAUAAUUUCAAGACUGAGUAUAACAGGCUGUUGGUACACCAUGAGGAAGACUUGGAGGGGAGGAAUAAGAGGUUGCUGAAGUCCUGAGCAUUACUUAUCUUCACCAAGAGAUGGUGGAACUUUGCCCAAUGUCUUCACAAUUAAAGAUGGCAUCUCUUCUCCAUUCUGACAUGAAGAAAUAUGUACCCCCUGGAUAGAGGGAGAAAUCCACAUAUGAAAGUCACUCAAGGACAAAGUUUGUCAGGGUAGUUUGGAAAUACAGCUUGAAUGCUGGCAAGAAGAGAGGGUAACUGAAGUCUGCCAAUUUGCUGGUGCCUCAUGUGGCUUGGAACCAACUUCAUCUGCAAAAGUGACAUUCCAUUUAAGCUGCUUGUCCUCCAUAAUUUAACUGGACACAUUUUCAAGCCACUGGGAUAGGUUUUUUUUUUUUUUUUGACAUUACUCUGUCCUUUAAAACUGAAUUAUAAGAAGUGCUGAUUCCAAAAUCAGUGAAUUAAUUUUUUUGGUUGUUAUACUUUUGUAAACAUGUCAGCUUCUAGUUUUUGCAGUAGGUAAUACAAAUAUAAAUUACGGUAUAAUGGAUACUGAUGUGUUGCAGGCACUGAAUGAUUCCAUUUAUUCAUGCUGACUCCUCUUUCACGUUCCCACUUAUCAAAGGAGACCUCACUGUCACCGCCGAUGCGUGGCUGAAUGGAGAAAUGACAUGUUUCUCUGUUUGUUGAGUGACUGUAUCACUUUGGAGAGCAUAUGCGUUUUGACAGCUUCCUGUCGACUAAUUUUCAACCUGACAUUACUCUGUAAUAUAAAAUUGUAAGGGGUUGGUAAAGAUAGUGUUAGCACUUUAGCCCUGUUCAAUGAUGUCCCGUCAUGCUUGGUUGAUGGCUACCUAAAGCUACCUCACUAUGUGUUUUGACUAGACCUGAUUUGAGUCAAUUUCCCCAUUUGUGGUGACUGUCGAGAGAUUUUGGGCACUAAAUCAGAGUUUAUUGGGCUGUUGUUGUGAUGGGGAAAAUCAACUUUUUGUAUAAGGCUGUUUUCACUACUCAGGAUCUCUAUAUAUCUUGAGAUCUCGACCUCAGAGUUGCUUCACCUUCUGUUGCCAGGCAUUAUUUAUCAAGUAUGCAAAUGGAAAUUGUUGUAUUUUAACGACAUUCCUGAAAACUAGCUUUCCAAAUCUUUGCCUGUUUAUUGCCUCCUAUUGGA